GCAUGAGGAAUUGUUCAUGCUCUGUAUAUGCAAGCAUAGAUAUUGCUGGGAAGGAGACUGGCUGUUUGACAUGGUAUGGCAAAUUAAUGGACACUGUACAUAAUAGGGAAGAGGGAUAUGAUAUUUAUGUUCGUGUUGAUGCAGUCGAAUUAGCUGAAAUUGCCGAAAAAUGGAAUGGUUUUCUUAAAAGGAAGGAUAUGUUAGCCAUUUUAGUAAUAUCUGUUGUUUCAGCUUGGUUUGUCAUCAUCUUAUUUACAUAUUUGUGGCUCAAGAAGAAGAAGAAAAGGGUGAGGAACAAAUGGAACAAAAGAUGGCUUGAUACAAUUGGCUGCGCAUACUACAACGAAACUUCAGUGGAAAAUCAAGUCGAAGGUAGCAUGAGUCAUCCAGAGAUUGCUUUUUUCAAUCUGAGCACUAUACUUGCUGCAACUAACAGUUUCUCUCCAGCUAACAAACUAGGGCAAGGUGGUUUUGGUGUGGUUUAUAAGGGUAAAUUGUCUAAUGGAAAGGAAGUUGCUGUGAAAAGACUUUUGAAAGAUUCAGGGCAAGGAAUAGAUGAAUUUAAAAAUGAAGUUUUGUUGAUUGCAAAACUUCAACAUUAGAAUCUGGUGAAACUCAUAGGGUGCUGCAUUCAGGGAGAGGAACCGAUGCUAGUUUAUGAAUACAUGCCAAACAAAAGUUUGGACUCCUUUCUUUUUGGUAAGUCCUGUGUAUGUCCAACUUUAUUUAGCAUUGUAUUCCAGAAGUUGUCUGAUUCCAUCUGUUUCAACAAUAUGAUUGAUGGACAUAAAAUGCAUAAAUUGGCACUGAUUCAAAUGGGAAUCUUUUGUUAGAUGAAACAAGAAGGUCAAUCUUGGAUUGGA
rnacentral:misc_RNA from 1 species